rnacentral:lncRNA from 1 species
GCUGCCCUGGCUGCCUACCACCUCCUGAAUCGGACGCUUUGCUCCCUGGAAAAAUCUGGAUGUGCCAGGASAACCCUCAGCAGCCAAGGCAGCUCCCCCAGCCCCAGGAGUCUUCCUAACCAGCUCCCAGGGGCGAGUUGGAAUGGCUUUGCCCAUCUCCGUGAAUCCCGCGUGCUGGGGCAGCCAAGAUGAAAUUAUAUGGAGAGGCUUAUUUGAAACCUUAUCGUAGGUGGGACACGUCAUCGCUGGCCUCCACCGGUGAAGGUCCUCUGCAGGGAGAAAUGUGCUGACAUGGAAAAGAUCAUCAAGUAGCCUUCCAUGAAGGCGUUUUGAAAGGCACCCGGG